AAGACAUGCAAGUCGAACGAGAUCCUUAGCAAAGCUUGCUUUGCUAAGUCUAGUGGCGAACGGGUGAGUAACACGUGAGCAACCUGCCCAGAAGCAGGGGAUAAGCCACCGAAAGGUGGUCUAAUACCGUAUGUGAUUUCAAGAGGCAUCUCUUGAUGAUUAAAGGGGGGGACCUUCGGGCCUCCCACUUCUGGAUGGGCUCGCGGCCUAUCAGCUAGUUGGUGAGGUAAUGGCUCACCAAGGCAACGACGGGUAACUGGUCUGAGAGGAUGAUCAGUCACACUGGAACUGAGACACGGUCCAGACACCUACGGGUGGCAGCAGUCGAGAAUCAUUCACAAUGGGCGAAAGCCUGAUGGUGCGACGCCGCGUGGAGGAUGACAGCCCUAGGGUUGUAAACUCCUGUCAUGAGAGAGUAAAGACUUAACGUUAAUAGCGUUGGGUCCUGAUAGUAUC
rnacentral:rRNA from 1 species